rnacentral:rRNA from 1 species
CCUACGGGUGGCAGCAGUGGGGAAUAUUCCACAAUGGGGGAAACCCUGAUGCAGCGACGCCGCGUGAAGGAAGAAGUAUUUCGGUAUGUAAACUUCUAUCAGCAGGGAAGAAAAUGACGGUACGUGACUAAGAAGCCCCGGCUAACUACGUGCCAGCAGACGCGGUAAUACGUAGGGGGCAAGCGUUAGCCGGAUUUGCUGGGUGUAAAGGGAGCGUAGGCGGCGAUGAAAGUAAGAAGUGAAAGCCCGGGGCUCAAAUCCGGGACUGCUUUUGAAAGUGUAUGGCUAGAUUGCAGGAGAGGAGAGUGGAAUUCCUAGUGUAGCGGUGAAAUGCGUAGAUAUUAGGAGGAACACCAGUGGCGAAGGCGGCUUGCUGGACUGUAAAUGACGCUGAGGCUCGAAAGCGUGGGGAGCAAACAGGAUUAGAUACCCCGGUAGUC